CUGAAACUUCACUAUGGAUCAGAGCGCGGUCAAGCAGACAUGAAUCCCAACCGAAUGUCAACCAGCAGGUUUCGGUGAGAUAAUUGUGGUUAAAAUGUCGCCACUUACCAGAUAUCAGCUGAGCUUGUGUCGUCUAUAAAGCUGCCGUCGACACCCGUGAGACAUUGGCGUCAAUACACCCAUGGACAAACCCCUCCGACUAUCAGGUUCUUGGUGGAACCCGACCAUGAGGUUGUUUGGAAGGUUUGCAGAGUCGUCAGUUUGGCCCCGCCCACUAGAUGACGGACGAUGCCAUCAGUCUGACCCAUUUCAGUUGGACUCCUUUGGUACAGUAGACACAGGCGCCUUGAGGCAUUGUGUAACACAAAAAUGUUCCUGGUCUUAUGUCCUUUAGGAGCUAACAAAUAAAUAAUAACCCGGACAGAUACAUGGAAGUUGCUGUCAAACCAAGAUUUGUUUAAUCCAUGACGCUUGGAAGUGACACCAUGUUUCAUCAUUUCUUAUAUUUGCAUUUAUUUGCAUGAAUUCCAAGAAUCAUUUGUACUUUUCACAGAACAAGAAUGCUGUAACAACUAGGUGAGGCAAUUCCUGAAGGAAUUGCGUGUGAAUACUCCAAUGCUGAAGUUGAACUGAAAUGCUGAUAGAAUGUAGUAUGAAUGGAAGAAUAGUUUGAAUGUUGGAAUGGUUUGAAUGUUGAAAAGUUUGGAUUUCCAGGGAAACCGGAAAUUAGUUCGGAACUUGGGAAAGUGUUAGUUUGAAUGUCCAGGAUGGGUGGAAUUUGCUGAUGUUGGAGUGGUUUGAAUAGGUAGAAAAAUUAAUUUCAAUGGAAACUUCCUGGACAUUUUUGGAAAAGCAGGAUUUUUUUUUUAAUGAUUGGGAGCAUGAAUUUCCUGAAUGAGCUGAAUUGGUUGGUUUUGGAAUUGUUUAAAUUGGUCAAGAAGUGUUAAAGUAAUAACAAUUUUUUGUUUUGUUUUGUUUUUUUUCGUCCUGUCCAGCUUCUCAGGCAAAUCAUAUAGUUGAUGUAGAUGCCCAUAUCGGUUGUUCAGAUUUACUUUACAAAAGAGAAGUGUGGGAUACUUCUCUUGUUGCCUUAUUUGAA